CCUACGGGAGACAGCAGUGAGGAAUAUUGGUCAAUGGGCGCAAGCCUGAACCAGCCAAGUCGCGUGAAGGAUGAAGGCCCUACGGAUUGUAAACCUCUUUUAUAAGGGAAUAAAGUGCGGCACGUGUGCCUUUUUGUAUGUACCUUAUGAAUAAGGAUCGGCUAACUCCGUGCCAGCAGCCGCGGUAAUACGGAGGAUCCGAGCGUUAUCCGGAUUUAUUGGGUUUAAAGGGAGCGUAGAUGGGUUGUUAAGUCAGUUGUGAAAGUUUGCGGCUCAACCGUAAAAUUGCAAUUGAUACUGGCAGGCUGGAGUACAGUUGAGGUAGGCGGAAUGCGUGGUGUAGCGGUGAAAUGCUUAGAUAUCACGCAGAACUCCGAUUGCGAAGGCAGCUUACCAAGCCGUGACUGACACUGAUGCUCGAAAGUGUGGGUAUCAAACAGGAUUAGAUACCCUUGUAGUC
rnacentral:rRNA from 1 species